UGAGUUUGAUCAUGGCUCAGNUUGAACGCUGGCGGCAUGCCUUACACAUGCAAGUCGAACGGUAACAGGUCUUCGGACGCUGACGAGUGGCGAACGGGUGAGUAAUACAUCGGAACGCGCCCAGUCGUGGGGGAUAACUACUCGAAAGAGUAGCUAAUACCGCAUACGAUCUGAGGAUGAAAGCGGGGGACCUUCGGGCCUCGCGCGAUUGGAGCGGCCGAUGGCAGAUUAGGUAGUUGGUGGGAUAAAAGCUUACCAAGCCGACGAUCUGUAGCUGGUCUGAGAGGACGACCAGCCACACUGGGACUGAGACACGGCCCAGNCUCCUACGGGAGGCAGCAGUGGGGAAUUUUGGACAAUGGGCGAAAGCCUGAUCCAGCAAUGCCGCGUGCAGGAUGAAGGCCUUCGGGUUGUAAACUGCUUUUGUACGGAACGAAAAAGCU
rnacentral:rRNA from 1 species